rnacentral:rRNA from 1 species
UACGUAGGGGCCAAGCGUUGUUCGGAAUUACUGGGCGUAAAGGGCUCGUAGGUGGCCAACUAAGUCAGACGUGAAAUCCCUCAGCUUAACUGGGGAACUGCGUCUGAUACUGGAUGGCUUGAGUUUGGGAGAGGGAUGCGGAAUUCCAGGUGUAGCGGUGAAAUGCGUAGAUAUCUGGAGGAACACCGGUGGCGAAGGCGGUUCUCUGGGCCUUACCUGACGCUGAGGAGCGAAAGCGUGGGGAGCGAACAGG